UACGUAGGGGGCAAGCGUUGUCCGGAAUCAUUGGGCGUAAAGCGCGUGUAGGCGGUUCGGUAAGUCGGCUGUGAAAGUCCAGGGCUCAACCCUGGGAUGCCGGUCGAUACUGCCGGACUAGAGUUCGGAAGAGGCGAGUGGAAUUCCCGGUGUAGCGGUGAAAUGCGCAGAUAUCGGGAGGAACACCAAUGGCGAAGGCAGCUCGCUGGGACGUUACUGACGCUGAGACGCGAAAGCGUGGGGAGCAAACA
rnacentral:rRNA from 1 species